UACGGAGGGUGCAAGCGUUAUCCGGAUUCACUGGGUUUAAAGGGUGUGUAGGCGGGUAUUUAAGUCAGUGGUGAAAUCUCCAGGCUCAACCUGGAAACUGCCAUUGAUACUAUUUAUCUUGAAUAUUGUUGAGGUAGGCGGAAUAUAUCAUGUAGCGGUGAAAUGCUUAGAUAUGAUAUAGAACACCGAUUGCGAAGGCAGCUUACUAAACAAUCAUUGACGCUGAGGCACGAAAGCGUGGGGAUCGAACAGG
rnacentral:rRNA from 1 species